rnacentral:lncRNA from 1 species
CUUGCUAAGUCUUCUGGCCUCUUUCUUUCUCCCGUGCUGGAUGCUUCCUGCCAACGAACAUCAGACUCCAAGUUCUUCAGCUUUUGGACUCUUUGGACUUGCACUAGUGAUUUGCCAGGGGCUCUCAGGCCUUUGGCCACAGAUAAAGGCUGCACUAUCAGCUUCCUUACUUUUGAAGUUUUGGGACUUGGAUGGGCUUCCUGGCUCCCCAGCUGGCAGAUGGCCUACUGUGGGACUUCACCUUGUGAUUAGAAGCUAUGAAACUUGGUUGCUGGAUCGUUACACUGAGGCUAAUAAUGAAAGGAAGGCGGAAUAAAGGGCCUUGGUUAGCUACAGGAUCCUAUCGGACAGGAAGGAUUGCUGUUUGGCAGAGGGUGGGCAUUUCUGAAGAUCUUCAGGACACUCCUGUUGAUGAUGACUUCCAGUUAGAAGAACAGCAGCCAAGAUGCCUCCUGACUGCAGAGCUGGCUGGAAUAGAUCUGGCUGCUAUAGAAGCCCUUCCUUUUUCAUUCAGUCCUCACAGCAAACCUCUGAUUUACAGGCAAAAAAAAAGGCUGAGAAAGGUUCAUGGAUUCUUCAACUGCUGAGCAGCUGCCAUACCCUGGACACGACUCUGGGUGCUGGGAAUACACACAGGCUCCACAUAGGUUGUACAGAUGGUCCUUGAGGCAACCGCAGAGGGCGUCAUUCACGUUGCAGGUGUGUCAACAAUAAUCACAGUGGUAAUUUGUUGGUGUGGGGUAGAAAAGAGUCUUAACAGGAGGGAGGCACUUCCCCUGCAUAUCUCCUUAUCAACCUCCCUCUUUCUUUCUAAUGCGCAAAGACACUUAGGAUGAUAUGAAGUGAGUUUAUGCAUUUUUUCUCUCCCCUUAGCACUGUGAAGGCACAGGGAGGAUAUCAUAUAGGGCAUUGUCCAUUUUCUUCUUUUUACUGCUGACAAUACCAGCUUUUCAUUUGGUGUCUGGAAGCCUCCUGAAAUUACAUGGGAAAUUUUGUUCAUAGACUUUUUUUUUUUUUUCCCCUGGGGUUAGGGUCUAUUGCUUUCAACAGACUCUUGGAGUUACCUUUCCCCAAAUAAAGAAUUUCUUACUUUCAGGAUUCCCUCAAGUAUAAAAGGGGUGGUGAAGGCAAUGUUUCCAUCUCAAAACAGAAAGGAUAUUCUUUACUUGAACUAUUUGGAGAGUCAUUUAGGAGGAUGGCUGAGUGUAACCAGCAAGCUAUGUUCAUUUGGUCCUUCUUGAAUUUCUUUUCAUCACUUCCUCUCACUCUACCCACUGGUGGUCUGUUGGAGGCUCAUAGCAAUACCCUUCCCAUUGAACCUUCUCUGAGAAUACUCUGAAUUCAGUGAGAUUUUCCCUUCUUCUCCACUAAAGAUGCAUCUUUGGGUCCCAUUCUGCUGCUCUACAGUUGACAGUCAGUCUGCAUGGUGAUUUAGUGGUUAUUUGUGUUAGCCAUUCUAGACAACAAGCUUCUUUUUAUUAAUAAUAAUAUAAACAGAUGACAUUUGGAAAGUACUCUCACCUGAGAGGUAGAUUGGCACCUUAAACCUAAAGAAGGAUGCCAAGUGGGAGAAUCAAGUUGAGAGAGAGAAGAUAUUGGGCAGAUAGGACAAGAAGUACUUCUCAACUCAUGGACACAAAAAGGAAAACAAUAGUCACUGGGACCUACCAGGAUAUGGAGGGUAGGAGCAGGGAGAGGAUCAGGAAAAAUAAAGAAUGGGCACUAGGCUUAUUACCUGGGUGAUGAAAUAAUCCAUACAACAAACCCCAUGACAUGAGUUUACCUAUAUAACCUGCACAUAUACCCUUGAACUUAAUUUGUUUUCUAAAAGGAAAAUAAAGUUUGCAUUUUUGCUUAUGGAAGUAACAACCC